CAUACAGAGAGAGAGAGAGAGAGAGAGAGAGAGAGAGAGAGAGAGAGAGAGAGAGAGAGAGAGAGAGAGAGAGAGAGAGAGAGAGAGAGAAUCGAAUAUACUUCACUACUAUUGCAAACAUUUUUCCUUUUGAAUCACAGCCACAAGAAACAGACAAAUAGACAGCCAGUUACAGACAGACACACGGACAGAUCAGCACGGACGGAAUAGAAAUAACAGAAAAAUCCAAAAUA